ensembl:ncRNA F40H6.8 ncRNA
UGGCAGAUUUGGCGCAAUGGAUAGUGAUGAUGAACGAAGAGCAAAGGACCAAGGGAUCGAGAUAAAGAAAAAUAAUGUUAAGAAGCUGCAAGAGUCUGCAGAAACAUGAUAGAAAG